GCCUGUGUGAGCCUCUUUGAGACCAUGCGGUUAGUUCAGAGCCUCUGCUGAUUGCCUUGCAACCUCAUGGUGACGACAGGAUGUCAGACCCCCGGUUGAUACUGAGGAAAAAUCACCUCGUCAAUCAGGUGACUCAAGUCCUCUCCAACAACAUUCACAUCUUCUUCCAGCUGUUUGACCUUUGGGUCCAGGCGUCUCACAGCAGCGCUGUAGCUCUCAACCAGGAUCUGGAAAACAGCAGAGUGUAACCACGUUUACACAAGCAGUCAACUUCUCCUGAGCCGACGUCCAGACAGGCCAGAGCGAAACUGAGAAAGAACAAAUAAGAUGUUCAAACUGAUCCAGUAGAAAGAUCAUCAGAGCUGUUAAUAAGAAGAGACUGACUUGUUCCAUGUGAAGGGACACGGACAGGCACGGCAGGUCCUGUUGGCUGCGUUUCCAUGGUAACCCACUUCACACCGCUCACAGCUGUCACCAAUGGUGUUGAACUGACAGUUCUGGAGCCAGUGCCAAGUACUUCCAAGCUCCUG